CUGGGGUGUGGUCUGUUCCUGUACUUUAGGUGCAGUCAAACUGUUUUUGACAGGUAGAGAAGCAAACAAUCCAAUCCAGCACGGUUGGAAAAGCACAAGAUCAUAAUGGAUUUGGAUCUGACAUCAGCUUUGAAUACAAAAGAAGAGGGGGUGGAGAAGGAGGAUUCACAAAAGAAUGAGCCUAUCUGUCAUCUGAGCUAGGACAAGAACAAAGAUAAUGACAAGGGACACGGCAAGCACAAGUCGGAUGGCAAAGAAGAGUCCAAGGAUGGACAUGGACGCGCACAUGGACAUGGACAUGGACACGGACAUGGACACGGCCACGGACACGGACACGGCCCAGGCCGUGGUCAGGGCCAGGGCCACAACAAGUAAAGAAAAUAAGAAGAGUUUUAAUGUACUUGAAUAAGAAGGGGACAAUAAGAGGAUCCUCUGACGAGAACUGAUGCUUCCUGCUGGAUCCAGUUGCCCUGUUUGUCACUCUAAUCUUGUCUAUUGAUUUAAAAGAAUAUCUGAUCAGCAAAUUUUCUACCUGUCUACUAACAGGUGCCAUGAAAAAAAGGCUGAGACUUUGGAACUAAAUGUGACAAUAAAAAUAUCUAAAUGGGUUUUCUCUGUCAGAGUGUUCCUGUCUGAUCUCACCACUAGAUGGCAGUGUCUCACAUUUUUAAGCUCAAUUCUGUCAAGAUACUGAUACUGUUUAGAACUGAAAUACUGUACAUGCUAUAUAGAUGUAAAAAAUCAGAACAUAAAGAACAAGCAUUUUGUUGAAAAAAGUAAAAUAAAAGUCCAAUAUCUAUGGUAAAAAAAAACUGAUCAAAAUUUUUGGUUUAAAAUUGUAUCUGUUUUAUGGGAUAAAUUGAGAAAACUGAAAAGAGAAAUGGAAAAUCUUGGUUGCAAAAGGUACAAUUAUUCAGAACUACUAGGUUGAAAGUGACAAAAAUGCAGAUGAAAACAAAACAUUUGUUUUUUUUU